UUUAAAAUGGUUAAAAUAUCCAAUACAUAAAUUUUUAUGAAUUUACGUACUAUAAUUUCAAAAUAUCUAGUUUUACAAACUUGAUUUUUAAAAAUUAAGUGUUCUCGUCAAGAACCUAAUCUUAGACUAUAGUAUAAAAUACAAAAACUGAUUUUAUUCAAUGUUCACAUUUUUAGUUAAUUAUACGUCCGUCAGAUUCUAUACUAUAGGACCUUACUAAUAUAGUAAAGAACGAUUUAAUAGAUAAUGAGAAAAGUUGCCUAAAUGUUCUUCGUUGUAAAAAAUACAAUAAGGAGAAGAAUUAAGAGAUAAAAAAAAAGAAAAAGCUGGUAAAAGAUUGUGACCAAAUCUAAGAUGAUAAAAUUUCGGUGAUAGCUGAGAAAAAGUGAGACGGAAAUAAAGCAAAAUGUACCACACAAUACAAAAUUGCAUUUUAUAUCACAUUUGUUGUUGACGUUUAAUUGUAAGAAAAAUGAAAAGUAUCUAAACUUUCUAAUGCAAUGCCAUUUUCUGUGAUAUUUAUGGGAUGAGAGCUUUAUUACACACAUGCCAACUAACAGUAUGGUGUAUUCUAUAAUGUUCUUGUAGAAAAGUUCUCGUGAUUAAAAGACGUUAUUAUUUCCAAAAGGUUUCUUGUCUAAAAUAAUAUCAAUUAUAGGAAGAAUCGUUCAGACGAGAAAAAAUUAUUUCUAAGAUUAUGAAUCUCAUUUUUGUUUAUUCACUAUAAUAAGAUUCAGCAGAAUAUCCAAAGAAGGUUAAAGCCCUUUCAAUGAGUACAUUAUACUGGAAUUUUAUUACAGAUACACUAUAUUAAUUCAUCAAUUAUAAUACUGACAAAACUAACAAAUGCCUGCGACUUACGUUAAUAAAUCGUAACUCAUAAUUUUACAAAGUAUAUUAACACUAUUUUUUCAACUAUAAUAGUUGUUUAUUGGUAAGUAAACAUAAAGUAAAUAAAUUAUUAUAGAUGAAUAGUAUACAAAUCGUUUUGACAUUUUAAAUAACGUUGAUAUACUUUUUAUAUUUAAGAUUAAGAUAAACACAUUGCGUUUAAUUAUUGAAAUUAAAGUGAAAAGAAUGAAAAAUAUAACUUAUAUAUGAGAAGUUGAGCGCAACAGUGGCCUAUGCCAUCAAACAGUUAAUGUGUGUGAUACAUCUUUUAAAAUUAUUACAAGCAUAUACAAUUUAUUAAUGCAACAACAUAAAUAGUGUUGCUAUCUAGUGUAAAAUUAAAAAAACUAAAAUAGACCGUUGUUGCAUUAAAAUAUUUUCUAUUCUAAACAAAAUUAUUUCAUCAACUCAAUUUUUAACAUUUUGAGGGUUAGGCCACUGUUGCGCUCAACCCUUCAUAUAUCUUCUCAGUAAAUAGUGAUUAUAAAAAUAAUUAAAUAGAAAUAAUUAUUAAUUUAUGUGUAAUACAUGUGUAAUAUAUUAUAAUUAGACAGUAUGUGUUUCUUAAAUAUUUUUCUAAAUUAUUCAUUUUAAUUUUUUAGUUGAAAAAAAUAAUGUUUUUCUAAGAAUAUGAAUAUAAUGUAUAAUUGGAAGUGUUUAUUUUAAUCGAAAAGAUUAAAUAAAAGGCCAUUAGUAUGAACGCAAAUAGGGUAGCCCACUAUUAACCUAAAUUAUGAUAGUAAUGAGUAUAUUACAGUAUUAGUGUACAUGGUAUUAAGUAAGUAAGGAAGCAGGUCAAAUGUUACCUACAAUUAAAACAUUUCUAGAAACAUUAUUAAGUUACAAACUUAAUAAAUAUAAAAGUGGGUUUUCAAAAUAUUAAUUUAUUGUACAAAUUAAAAUUUUUAAUAACUAUAGGAAUUAAUCCAAUUGUCAGCAGCUCCUAAUAUCUACAAGCAAUAUAAUUUUACUGAUAUAUUGUCCUGAACUAUUAUACUUUUCUUUGAAUAGAACGAUUCGUUAUUGGACAUAGAAUUCACAACUGAAAUUAAAAUAAUAACAUGAACAUAUUUUUUUAUUAAUUAUAUUAUAUCAAAAUACAUUUUCAUUGGGAGUAGAUAAAAAUUCUAUAUUUAUAAUCGAUCACUUCACUUUAGGCAUGACGUGCCUUGGCGGCAAAAACAGGCAUCUAAGCAAUUAUAUCACAGAGAACAGUAAUAUACACAAAUCAAUAUACAAAUUGUUUAUCAUUAAAUAUGAAAGCUCGAGUAAGAAGCUUUUAAUAUCUUCUAAAAGAUUUAGUUAAAUUUCUAAUUUUUUAAAUUCUUCCAUGAAUAGUU